rnacentral:piRNA from 1 species
UCCUUGGUGUUGGCUCGUGGUUGCUCUUC